GCCAACGACCAUACUACGCUGAAUACAUCGGUUCUCGUCCGAUCACCGAAAUUAAGCAGCGUCGGGCGCGGUUAGUACUUAGAUGGGGGACCGC
rnacentral:rRNA from 1 species